GCGGAUGUAGCUCAGUUGGUUAGAGCGCCGGCCUGUCACGCCGGAGGUCGCGGGUUCGAGCCCCGUCAUUCGCGCCA
rnacentral:tRNA from 25 species